GGAGAGAACGCUCGUCCGCGGCUUAACACAUGCAAGUCGAGCGCCCCGCAAGGGGAGCGGCAGACGGGUGAGUAACGCGUGGGAAUCUACCUUUUGCUACGGAAUAACGCAGGGAAACUUGUGCUAAUACCGUAUGUGUCCUUCGGGAGAAAGAUUUAUCGGCAAGAGAUGAGCCCGCGUUGGAUUAGCUAGUUGGUGGGGUAAAGGCCUACCAAGGCGACGAUCCAUAGCUGGUCUGAGAGGAUGAUCAGCCACAUUGGGACUGAGACACGGCCCAAACUCCUACGGGAGGCAGCAGUGGGGAAUAUUGGACAAUGGGCGCAAGCCUGAUCCAGCCAUGCCGCGUGAGUGAUGAAGGCCCUAGGGUUGUAAAGCUCUUUCACCGGAGAAGAUAAUGACGGUAUCCGGAGAAGAAGCCCCGGCUAACUUCGUGCCAGCAGCCGCGGUAAUACGAAGGGGGCUAGCGUUGUUCGGAAUUACUGGGCGUAAAGCGCACGUAGGCGGAUCGAUCAGUCAGGGGUGAAAUCCCAGGGCUCAACCCUGGAACUGCCUUUGAUACUGUCGAUCUGGAGUAUGGAAGAGGU
rnacentral:rRNA from 1 species